UACGUAGGGGGCAAGCGUUAUCCGGAAUCAUUGGGCGUAAAGCGCGUGUAGGCGGUUCCGUAAGUCCGCUCUGAAAGCCCAGGGCUCAACCCUGGGAGGCGGGUGGAUACUACGGAACUGGAGUACGGAAGAGGAGAUCGGAAUUCCUGGUGUAGCGGUGAAAUGCGCAGAUAUCAGGAGGAACACCAACAGCGAAGGCAGAUCUCUGGGACGUUACUGACGCUGAGACGCGAAAGCGUGGGGAGCAAACAGG
rnacentral:rRNA from 1 species